rnacentral:rRNA from 1 species
UACAGAGGGUGCAAGCGUUGUUCGGAAUUAUUGGGCGUAAAGGGAGUGUAGGCGGCUUUUUAAGUCUUCUGUGAAAUCUACGGGCUUAGCCUGUAACGUGCAGAGGAAACUGGGAGGCUUGAGUGUCGGAGAGGAUAGGGGAAUACCCGGUGUAGAGGUGAAAUUCGUAGAGAUCGGGUGGAACACCAGUGGCGAAGGCGCCUGUCUGGCUGACAACUGACGCUGAGACUCGAAAGCAUGGGGAGCAAACAGG